GACCAUUUUUAUAUGCAAGCUCCUGGAAUGCCUGUGGUUUCUCCAGCACCUGGGUCCUGCUGGCAACCAGCAGCACCCAGUGGCCAGCAGCGUACUCUUUCACCUCUUCUUGGGUGACUUUGUGGAAUGCUCCAAUGUGACAUCUCCCUGUGAACGCCUUUCCUGACACCCUAAAAAGUGUCAGGAAUUUCCAGCAAGUUCCAGAGAGCAGGUUUCCAGCAAGUUUGGUCAGUAUGACACCACAGCGAUAUCUCUGCCAUUCACUGAACUUGGAUUCUUCCUUCUUCAGUGAGAGAUGUUCAAGAAAAAGAACAACUUCAGUGGAAGAAGAAGAAGAUAGGAGCCCAGGUCCUGUGUUUCACCAAGACAGCCGUGCAAAGCAGAUGCUGCCAAAAAGGUGCAAAGUGGUUUGUCAGCUCUUCUGCAUGUUCUAACAAAUUAGACAUGCAUCCCAAAAGGUAUACUACAAUAUUAAAGCUUAUUUAUACACACUGUAAAGUUUCCCCUGAGUGUCCUGGCAGGCACUUGCAUGGCUGGGCAGUAUCCGUGGACUGAUUCCUUUGUGAAUUACAUGGAGCUGACAGGGCUGAAACCCACAGCUGACUCGGAGGAGGAUGGAAGCUUGUGCUGGGCAAGGGGCUGAAGCCCCUCUGUGUAAGUCAUAUUAAUCUCCUCUGAGCAGAGUGCUACAAAAUUACUAAAGCUGCUUCUUGAAGACACUUCUAAUGCAGUACCUAAUGAAAAUGUCAGGUGCGACAAGUUAUUAGUUGCUGCACUGCUGUUCUGAAGUCCCAGGUAUUUCUCUACCUGUUAUCCAUGAAUGUGAGUUUUGUGGGGAAGGCAGUCACAGGCUGAGGAAAGCAUCAGCAGUCAUGUGUGCUGUCAGGCCUGUAAAGUGAGUGAGGACAAUGAAGCUGGUUGAAGUGCCCCAGGAAAUGGCCAGACUUCCAUAGUGGAGGUGAGGUGAAGAAUUGAGUCCGGGCAAAGGUGUGUGGGGAGAAGAAGCUGCCUGGUGUACGAUGCUGAGUAAUGAUACAACCCAAAUCAUCUGACUCUGCAGAUUUGAAAGUUGCCGUUAUUAUUAAGAAUUCAGAUGGGAAAAGAAAUAUGGUUUGGGUUAUUUCCAUAGUCAUUCCAGAAAUCCAGGCUCAGUUUGGCAUUUAUUGACAUAACUGUUUAUAUUGGAUCUGUGUAGAAGUUUGUAUCUUUCUGACUUGCAUGAUACUUCAGCCUUUCCUUGGAGUCUCUGUGGCUUCUCUUCCUCCUUUGCUCACCUCCAGUCAUUGUCAAAUGGCUUUGUGCAAGUUACUCUUUCUCGGCCUCCAUUUUUUUGGAUCCUGCCUUUGCCGCCCUCCUUGCCUGUACUCUGUCCAGUCCAGGCCCUCUGGACCUCUUGCCUGGACCUCCAAGCUCUCCCUCCUCCCAUCUCUUCCCUUUCAACCUUCCUACCCAGAGCACAGCAGUAGUAACAGCUAACACCAUUUAAUAGGUAUCCUUUCUAUGCCAGGCCCUGGGGUUGCUAUGUCACAUAUAUUAUUUGUAAUGUUUGCAAUAACCCUGGAAAUGGUAUUAUUACCUCCAUUGUACAGUUUGGAAGGCACCAAAAAAGGCACAUGGGCCCACAUUCAUGCAAGCUAAUGAGGGGCAAAACUGGAAUGAGAACCCAGGGCCACUGGGUCCCUCAGCUUAUGCUGUUCCCUAACCAUACUGCUUCCUCCACUCAGAAUCCUUUAGUGGCUCCCAUUGCCUAAUAGAUCAAGUCUGGGCUCCUUAUCUUGGCUUCUGGGUCCUCUAAAAUGUAGUCUGCUAGGUUUCCAGGCUUUCCUCUCCACCCCUCACACAUCCUACUCUUUAGCCAAAAAAACAGACAAAAACCCUAAAAACAAAAAAAUCCAUUUUUUUAUUUAUACCCGUGCUUUCUUUCCUAAGUGCUUUUAUAUGUGCUAUUUCUCCUGCCAGGAGCAGAGACUGUCAUGCUUUCCUCUGUAUAAGUAAGUGUUGCCCAAGAAAACAUUGAACAGAGGUGGGCUAGAGAUCCAUUUAUUUUCUGGUUCACAAAGGGCAUAUUGGAUCUUUAUUAAAUAGUCUAAAAUGUCCUUUCAAUAAUGUUUUUCUUUAAUAUCUUUUUAAAAGACAUUUAAAGUGAAUCAGAAAGCAAUUAAAUGAUUAAUUGCUGUGGCUGAAUUCUGCUGCCCUCAGCCUCUGUGGAUGCUAUCUCACCGAUUAACCUCCAUUUCUAAGCUCUGUCUGAUUGAGGGAAGCAAUGACAGAAAACGCUUGGCCUGUCACAUGACUGAUCCUUGCUGUCAUGAGCCAUCGUUUUCUAACUGCAAGCUUUCAUUUUCAAAGCCCUGGCAUGAUUUCAGGAGCUGUAAACCCUCAUGUGAGUAAGUGAGCAGUAAGAACUGGCAGUUUUUCAAUCUUAAGUCUCUCCAGCUUUAAACCCACAUUUAGCUGUGAUUCUUUUUUUCUCCUUAAGUUGGACAUUUUUUUAGUGAAUACUUUUUUGAUAAAUAAAGUGGGGUGAAGGUGAACUUGACUGAGACAGAUAUGGGUUGGUCCGUUUAGGGCUGACCCUGGAAAAAAAAAGUUAUAUCAGUCUUGACAUUAAUUCCGUAGUCAGAGUAGGUGAGAGAGGAGUAGAUUAGUAUAUAGGGUUCCCAGCCUUCCCAGUACAACCAUGGACUCAGAGUUGGGGACACUAAAAAUGUACAUGAAGUUUAUGAUUUCACUGGUAGAGAUGGCCCACAAUGCCAGUUUGGACAGGCAUUACUCUAAACGUGGUGGGGAAGUCAGGAGACAUCUACUCCAAGGCAUAACCUCUAGGACAGUUUGUGGGGUAUCAGGGAAGGAUAUAUCAUUGGAAAGAUUUCUAGUUGCCAUACACAAAUAAUUGGGCUUCAGUUUAAUGCAUAAUUAACUGUUCUCAGUGUGUUAUUAGUUGGACAAUUGGAUUAUUACAUUAUUUACAUUAGUGUUUAUAGGUAAUCUGAAAACAAAAAUGUGAAUAUAAUAUGAACUACCUCAAAGAUUUGUCUCUGCUUAAUAGUUUUAUUUCAAAUUUGUAUAUCAAAUGUU
rnacentral:lncRNA from 1 species